AUUGAACGCUGGCGGUAGGCCUAACACAUGCAAGCCGAACGCGAAAGUCCUUCGGGAUGAGUAGAGUGGCGGACGGGUGAGUAACGCGUAGGAAUCUAUCCUGUAGUGGGGAUAACGUUUCGAAAGGAACGCUAAUACCGCAUACGCCCCAAGGGGGAAAGCGGGGGAUCUUCGGACCUCGUGCUAUAGGAGGAGCCUGCGUCGGAGUAGCUAGUUGGUGAGGUAAAGGCUCACCAAGGCGACGAUCCGUAGCUGGUCUGAGAGGAUGAUCAGCCACACCGGAACUGAGACACGGUCCGGACUCCUACGGGAGGCAGCAGUGGGGAAUAUUGCGCAAUGGGCGAAAGCCUGACGCAGCCAUACCGCGUGUGUGAAGAAGGCCUUCGGGUUGUAAAGCACUUUCAGUGGGGAGGAAAAGCUGGUGGCUAAUAUCCAUCGGCCGUGACGCUACCCACAGAAGAAGCACCGGCUAAUUCCGUGCCAGCCGCCGCGGUAACAC
rnacentral:rRNA from 1 species